rnacentral:tRNA from 1 species
GGCGGGAAUAGCUCAGUUGGUAGAGCGCAACCUUGCCAAGGUUGAGGUCGCGAGUUCGAGACUCGUUCCCGCUCC